rnacentral:tRNA from 1 species
UGGGGAGUAGCCAAGUGGUAAGGCACCGGAUUUUGAUUCCGGCAUUCGCAGGUUCAAUCCCUGCCUCCCCAGCCA